rnacentral:misc_RNA from 1 species
AAAACACUGAGGUCCAACAUACUGCUUGAGUUCAGUCACGCCGGAAGGUAAUUCGGGCUUCUUAACGGCAAUAUGGUCUUCCUUAUACCAGAUUGGAGGCUGAAGAGCAUAUUCAAAGGGACGAAAAAGACGCUUCUCAUAUGUAAAUGCUGAUGGGUUCGGAUACGCAAGGUCACCCCCAAUAAGAAGCAGGCGUCCACGUGGCAGUGUAAGCUUGGAAUCAUUAUUUUGGGCGCGGAUUGAAGGUUGAGCAAGAAGGCGUGCCACAGUGUAGGAGGAAUUUCCGCCAUCACCAGUAUCGGCCAU